rnacentral:rRNA from 1 species
CUACGGGAGGCAGCAGUAGGGAAUAUUGGUCAAUGGAUGGAAGUCUGAACCAGCCAUGCCGCGUGCAGGAAGAAGGCCUUCUGGGUUGUAAACUGCUUUUGCCAGGGGAUAAAAAUUCUUUGCGAAGAAAAUUGAAGGUACCUGGUGAAUAAGCACCGGCUAACUACGUGCCAGCAGCCGCGGUAAUACGUAGGGUGCAAGCGUUGUCCGGAUUUAUUGGGUUUAAAGGGUGCGUAGGCGGCCCUGUAAGUCAGUGGUGAAAUACUCCAGCUUAACUGGAGGGGUGCCAUUGAUACUGCAGGGCUUGAGUUAAGUUGAAGUUGGCGGAAUUGACGGUGUAGCGGUGAAAUGCUUAGAUAUCGUCAAGAACACCGAUAGUGAAGACAGCUAACUAAACUUUUACUGACGCUGAGGCACGAAAGUGUGGGGAUCAAACAGGAUUAGAUACCCCGGU